UAAUGCAGUCGAACGCUUCUUUUUCACCGGAGCUUGCUCCACCGGAAAAAGAAGAGUGGCGAACGGGUGAGUAACACGUGGGUAACCUGCCCAUCAGAAGGGGAUAACACUUGGAAACAGGUGCUAAUACCGUAUAACAAUCAAAACCGCAUGGUUUUGAUUUGAAAGGCGCUUUCGGGUGUCGCUGAUGGAUGGACCCGCGGUGCAUUAACUAGUUGGUGAGGUAACGGCUCACCAAGGCCACGAUGCAUAGCCGACCUGAGAGGGUGAUCGGCCACAUUGGGACUGAGACACGGCCCAAACUCCUACGGGAGGCAGCAGUAGGGAAUCUUCGGCAAUGGACGAAAGUCUGACCGAGCAACGCCGCGUGAGUGAAGAAGGUUUUCGGAUCGUAAAACUCUGUUGUUAGAGAAGAACAAGGAUGAGAGUAACUGUUCAUCCCUUGACGGUAUCUAACCAGAAAGCCACGGCUAACUACGUGCCAGCAGCCGCGGUAAUACGUAGGUGGCAAGCGUUGUCCGGAUUUAUUGGGCGUAAAGCGAGCGCAGGCGGUUUCUUAAGUCUGAUGUGAAAGCCCCCGGCUCAACCGGGGAGGGUCAUUUGGAAACUGGU
rnacentral:rRNA from 1 species